GUGCUCACCUCAGCGGCACAUAUACUGAAAUUUAAAUGAUACACAGAAGAUUAGCAUGGCACCUGUGGAGGCAUGACAUGCAAAAUUGUGAAGCCUUCGCUAUUUUA
ensembl:snRNA U6 U6 spliceosomal RNA